CUACGGGUGGCUCCAGUGGGGGAUAUUGCACAAUGGGCGAAAGCCUGAUGCAGCAACGCCGCGUGAGGGAAGACGGUUUUCGGAUUGUAAACCUCUGUCCUCGGUGAAGAAAAAAAUGACGGUAGCCGAGGAGGAAGCCACGGCUAACUACGUGCCAGCAGCCGCGGUAAUACGUAGGUGGCAAGCGUUGUCCGGAUUUACUGGGUGUAAAGGGAGCGCAGGCGGGAAAGCAAGUCAGCUGUGAAAUAUACGGGCUUAACUCGUAAAUUGCAGUUGAAACUGUUUUUCUUGAGUGAAGUAGAGGUAGGCGGAAUUCCGAGUGUAGCGGUGAAAUGCGUAGAUAUUCGGAGGAACACCAGUGGCGAAGGCGGCCUACUGGGCUUUAACUGACGCUGAGGCUCGAAAGUGUGGGGAGCAAACAGGAUUAGAUACCCUCGUAGUC
rnacentral:rRNA from 1 species